rnacentral:rRNA from 1 species
GCCUAAUACAUGCAAGUCGAGCGAACAGAUAAGGAGCUUGCUCCUUUGACGUUAGCGGCGGACGGGUGAGUAACACGUGGAUAACCUACCUAUAAGACUGGGAUAACUUCGGGAAACAGGAGCUAAUACCGGAUAACAUAUUGAACCGCAUGGUUCAAUAGUGAAAGGCGGCUUUGCUGUCACUUAUAGAUGGAUCCGCGCCGUAUUAGCUAGUUGGUAAGGUAACGGCUUACCAAGGCAACGAUACGUAGCCGACCUGAGAGGGUGAUCGGCCACACUGGAACUGAGACACGGUCCAGACUCCUACGGGAGGCAGCAGUAGGGAAUCUUCCGCAAUGGGCGAAAGCCUGACGGAGCAACGCCGCGUGAGUGAUGAAGGUCUUCGGAUCGUAAAACUCUGUUAUCAGGGAAGAACAAAUGCGUAAGUAACUGUGCACAUCUUGACGGUACCUGAUCAGAAAGCCACGGCUAACUACGUGCCAGCAGCCGCGGUAAUACGUAGGUGGCAAGCGUUAUCCGGAAUUAUUGGGCGUA